CUAUCCGUAUGCAAUGGCGAAUGACUCAUUUCGUUUGUUGACGCAUGCCUCUUUUGAUUCCAUCGAAGCGUUCCAUGUCCUCCUCCCCGCUUACUGUUUGCUUUCGCGUCGGAAAGUAGCGAUAUCUAUUCGAGCGCAACACAUGUUUGGUGGCCGUAGUACCAGUCGCCGCACCGCCUUAUCAUAGCUCUGUUAUUAUUUGGCACGGUUCUCUUACUACUCCAGACAAGCGUGACGCCGUACCCCUGACUUAGUCGCUAUCAUCGGGUCUGUCGCUAGACGCCAGCCAGGGACUUGGUUUUCCUAUUGUGACUCCCAUCUAUUGUUAAGCUGGGCACCCUCCUUUCCUCUCUUGGCGGCAGUAUAUCGGCCUCAUAUUAACGUCACUGUCCCGGCUCUCAUGCCGCCUACUUCCCCUGCCCCAUUAUCCCACAGGCGGCCUGCUCUUCAAGUUCAAUUUGUGUACAGCGACGACGAGAUCUCUAAUCACCAUAGUUGCAAACUCGUUUCUUACGCGCUGGCCUUUGUUCCGCUCUUACCGCACCAGCUUACAGCGAAGUGACAAAUAUGGACCUCUUAAGUGAGUGAUGACCAGGUGUCCAGACGUCACAGACCACAUAUCGGAGAGUGUAUAGAGGAAAUUGCAACUGCGGAAAUUUCUCCCAUAUUCUGUAUUACGCGUCGCCCGUAGGCCAGUUUUUCACACCCAAGUACAGCUACCACACACGUCCCAGCUUGUGAAAUUUAACCUUCCAAAAAAAGCAACGUCAACAGGACUACGGGGAGGGUGUUCGUGUUCGACAACGGGGCACAUCUUGCAUAUUAUCGGGAUUGCCACACACAGGCAGAGACUGUGCACGACAACGAUGAGUUACCCACAACAAAAUUACUACCCGCCGACUCAGCCCUGUUUUACUCAACCGGGAUAUCCACCACCAGCCCAGCCGGGUUACUAUCCCCCCCCACAGCCCGGAUAUCAGCCUGGUUACGUCCCAUCGGCGGUGCCCGCACAAACAGUAGUUGUGCAUGACCAUCGGCCGCAAGAGGAUAACUUUUGGAAGAACAGCUGCCUAUGUGCUUUGUGCUUAGCACUAUGUUGUUGGUGCUGUGAUAAUUAGAUAGGUUCAAUAUCAACUCAGCGGAAAAGGGGCGACCUUAUGUCGGUUUAUUGCGACUCCCACAAGCCAGGAGCCACCCGAUUGACAUCUGUCGCCGACUGUGCGGUGUAUAAUGCCCAAACACUGUAUAAAUUAUCAAUAGCAGAUAUUUUUAUGAUGUUAUAUUAUACGAUAAAGAUACAUAUUGUUAUUUGAAUAGACUUUUUAUUACAGCACAAAUAAACGUGUGCAAUGAUGAUGUACAAUCUAAUAUAAACAACGCAAUAAUAAUAAAUCAGUAUAACACUAGUUUGCUUACAUACUCAAUAGUGAUCAUUACAAUAUAUCUAUAAUCAUAUGGAACUCAAUGCCGACAGAAAUUUGAAGCUCGCUUCAAGACAAAAUAAACUAUGCACAAAACGUAAACUAUA